rnacentral:rRNA from 1 species
GAUGAACGCUAGCGGCAGGCCUAAUACAUGCAAGUCGAACGGUGUCUUCGGACAUAGUGGCGCACGGGUGCGUAACACGUAUGCAACCUACCUUACAUUGGGGGAUAGCCUUUCGAAAGGGAGAUUAAUACCGCAUAAGACAGUAGCUGGGCAUCCAGCAGCUGUUAAAGAUUUAUCGAUGUAAGCUGGGCAUGCGUCCAAUUAGCUAGUUGGUGAGGUAACGGCUCACCAAGGCAAUGAUUGGUAGGGGAACUGAGAGGUCAAUCCCCCACACUGGAAAUGGGAUACGGGCCAGACUCCUACGGGAGGCAGCAGUAGGGAAUAUUGGGCAAUGGACGCAAGUCUGACCCAGCCAUGCCGCGUGCAGGAUGAAGGCGUUAUGCGUUGUAAACUGCUUUUAUACAGGAAGAAACGACUCUUGCGAGAGGCAUUGACGGUACUGUAUGAAUAAGCACCGGCUAACUCCGUGCCAGCCGCCGCCGUAACAC